UCGGUCAAACUCGGGCUGAAUGAGUGAGCAACCAGAAGGGCAGAGGGAGGAGCAGGAGAGCAGCUGCAUGUGGAGCUACCACUGAGAGCCACUGGGACAAAGGCACAUGAACUUAUCCAAACUUAUCCUAUGUUAUGGAGCUGGUAAGGAGCAGAACCGUUACAAGAACACAUGUCUAUAUGAUCCCCAGAAUCACAAUGACAAAGAUGAGUAUGAAUGAAAAACAGAAGACCUUAAAUUGUAUGAAGAAGAAUGAGAAUGGAAGUAACCACCUCAUUAAAUUAAAUAUGGGAAUUUUUUUGAUUCUAUGCUAUCCUGAAGAGAGGAUAAGGAACCAUACUCCUGCACACUGAGUCUGUCCAGGUGCCUGAAGCAUGAAUGGCUGGGCUUCACCACUGGUUAUCCUUCCACAGCAAGAAAGCACCACUAUUUCUAUACCCAACCUGUCAGUAGUAGACCUUUGCAUGUUUUCACUGUGCUGCUAUCCUAAGUUGUGUUACUAUGAAUGUUUUGGAGAAAAAUUGGUAUCUUCACAAUAUUGAGCUGUCCAAACUAAGAAUAUUAUUUUUUGUUCACUCAUUUUUUUAAAUAAAGUCUCUCCACAAAAUGUUAUUAUUUAGCAAUAGAGAUCUUGCAUAUAUCUCUGUAGACUUAUUUCUGGCACUUCAUCUUUACUAUUGCCUAACAUUUUAGAUGAUAAUUUUAAUUUCAUUUUCAUUUAUUUGUCUUAAUAUGGGAUUCAGUUCUUUAUUUAUAUUUAUUUUUGGUUGAGGAACCUAGCUCAACUCUUUUUAAAUAAUUUAUCUGGACAUUGUCUUGGACAUUACAAUUUGAAAUUUAAUAAAGUUCAUAGUAAUCUUGAAAAAAAGUG